rnacentral:rRNA from 1 species
AUGGCGGCAUAUUUGCGCUCCCAGCUGGUGCUACUCAGGUCGCCAGGGCAGCGACAUCUGUUGAGCUAUCGCUCAUCGUCAUCCUCCGCUGCACCAAGCACUAUUACGCCUCCACCUGCUCCUGCAGGAGGACGUACCAGUUCCAAAGGCUCGCCUAAAUACUGGAUUUAUGGACCUCCCGGCUUAGCAUCGUCUAUGCUAUCCUUGAUGGUGCUACUCACCCCCUCAUCCUCCGAUGUGCCAGCAGCUGAUGGUGCUGUUAUCACUGGGCACGUGCCUUAUGAACCCCCUUUGCAAAAUGCAACAUAG